AGAGUUUGAUCCUGGCUCAGGAUGAACGCUGGCGGCGUGCCUAACACAUGCAAGUCGAGCGAUUCUCUCCGGAGAAGAGCGGCGGACGGGUGAGUAACGCGUGGGUAACCUGCCCUGUACACACGGAUAACAUACCGAAAGGUAUGCUAAUACGAGAUAAUAUGCUUUUAUCGCAUGGUAGAAGUAUCAAAGCUUUUGCGGUACAGGAUGGACCCGCGUCUGAUUAGCUAGUUGGUAAGGUAACGGCUUACCAAGGUGACGAUCAGUAGCCGACCUGAGAGGGUGAUCGGCCACAUUGGAACUGAGACACGGUCCAAACUCCUACGGGAGGCAGCAGUGGGGAAUAUUGCACAAUGGGCGAAAGCCUGAUGCAGCAACGCCGCGUGAGCGAUGAAGGCCUUCGGGUCGUAAAGCUCUGUCCUCAAGGAAGAUAAUGACGGUACUUGAGGAGGAAGCCCCGGCUAACUACGUGCCAGCAGCCGCGGUAAUACGUAGGGGGCUAGCGUUAUCCGGAAUUACUGGGCGUAAAGGGUGCGUAGGUGGUUUCUUAAGUCAGAGGUGAAAGGCUACGGCUCAACCGUAGUAAGCCUUUGAAACUGGGAAACUUGAGUGCAGGAGAGGAGAGUGGAAUUCCUAGUGUAGCGGUGAAAUGCGUAGAUAUUAGGAGGAACACCAGUUGCGAAGGCGGCUCUCUGGACUGUAACUGACACUGAGGCACGAAAGCGUGGGGAGCAAACAGGAUUAGAUACCCUGGUAGUCCACGCCGUAAACGAUGAGUACUAGCUGUCGGAGGUUACCCCCUUCGGUGGCGCAGCUAACGCAUUAAGUACUCCGCCUGGGGAGUACGCUCGCAAGAGUGAAACUCAAAGGAAUUGACGG
rnacentral:rRNA from 1 species